rnacentral:tRNA from 3 species
UCUUCGGUAGUAUAGUGGCUAGUAUGCCAGCCUGUCACGCUGGAGACCCGGGUUCAAUUCCCGGCCGGAGAG